rnacentral:rRNA from 1 species
CCUACGGGUGGCUGCAGUGGGGAAUAUUGGACAAUGGGCGAAAGCCUGAUCCAGCCAUGCCGCGUGUGUGAAGAAGGCCUUCGGGUUGUAAAGCACUUUCAGUGGGGAAGAAAGCCUUGGGGCUAAUACCCUCGAGGAAGGACAUCACCCACAGAAGAAGCACCGGCUAACUCCGUGCCAGCAGCCGCGGUAAUACGGAGGGUGCGAGCGUUAAUCGGAAUUACUGGGCGUAAAGCGCGCGUAGGCGGUCUGAUAAGCCGGUUGUGAAAGCCCCGGGCUCAACCUGGGAACGGCAUCCGGAACUGUCAGGCUAGAGUGCAAGAGAGGAAGGUAGAAUUCCCGGUGUAGCGGUGAAAUGCGUAGAGAUCGGGAGGAAUACCGGCGGCGAAGGCGGCCUUCUGGACUGACACUGACGCUGAGGUGCGAAAGCGUGGGUAGCAAACAGGAUUAGAUACCCUAGUAGUC